UACGUAGGGUGCAAGCGUUAAUCGGAAUUACUGGGCGUAAAGCGUGCGCAGGCGGCUUUGCAAGACAGAUGUGAAAUCCCCGGGCUUAACCUGGGAAUGGCCUUUGUGACUGCACGGCUAGAGUGUGUCAGAGGGGGGUAGAAUUCCACGUGUAGCAGUGAAAUGCGUAGAGAUGUGGAGGAAUACCGAUGGCGAAGGCAGCCCCCUGGGAUAACACUGACGCUCAGGCACGAAAGCGUGGGGAGCAAACAGG
rnacentral:rRNA from 1 species